rnacentral:lncRNA from 1 species
CCUUUUCUCCAGAGUUCCGACAAUGGCUUCAGCAUCAGCGACAGCUACUCUUCUCAAACCCAAUCUUCCGCCGCAUAAACCGACCAUCAUCGCCUCCUCCGUAUCUCCGCCUCUUCCUCCUCCACGUCGCAACCACCUCCUCCGCCGCGAUUUCCUCUCCCUGGCGGCAACAUCCACGCUUCUAACACAAUCGAUUCAGUUUCUAGCUCCGGCGCCGGUCUCCGCCGCUGAAGAU